GUGAGGAAUCUUCCACAAUGGGCGAAAGCCUGAUGGAGCAACGCCGCGUGAAGGAUGAAGGUCUUCGGAUUGUAAACUUCUUUUAUGAGUGAAGAAUAUGACGGUAACUCAUGAAUAAGCACCGGCUAACUACGUGCCAGCAGCCGCGGUCAUACGUAGGGUGCAAGCAUUAUCCGUAGUGACUGGGCGUAAAGAGUUGCGUAGGCGGUUAUGUAAGCGAAUAGUGAAACCUGGUGGCUCAACCACACAGACUAUUAUUCGAACUGCAUAACUCGAGAAUGGUAGAGGUAACUGGAAUUUCUUGUGUAGGAGUGAAAUCCGUAGAUAUAAGAAGGAACACCAAUGGCGUAGGCAGGUUACUGGGCCAUUUCUGACGCUAAGGCACGAAAGCGUGGGGAGCGAACCGGAUUAGAUACCCGUGUAGUCC
rnacentral:rRNA from 1 species